CCACCGCGACCGGGAGAAGAGGAUGGUGUUCCUGCACCUCACUACGUCGCCGCCGACACAUCUGGAGGGGCCCGGCGAUCUACGGGAGCUGCUCUUGAUGUUCUCCGUUUGCCGUGUAAUAAUAUUUCUCCAAGAAGGCUUCUGGUUCGACACACAGAUUUUGAAGAAAUUUCGUCUGUUGCAAUCCUCAAAUUGCAGCCAUGGGCUAUCGCUGGGAUGAUGGUGAUGGUUGCCAGUGGCGGGCAAAGGGGAAGCAGGAGGCCGCUGAACUUGGAGGGACCUGCAAGAUUGUUCUUGUGGGUGGUAGCUCUCACUCUCGGGGCAGAACCGGCUACGUGAUCAAGCUACAGCUGCUCUGCCAAGUACCUGAUCGGCGCCAACUUCAACGGGAGCUCUGAUCCUUACACCGUCAUCUCUUGCGGAGAGCAAAAACGCUUCAACUGAUCUCCACUACAAAGUUUUUUCUUCUGCUAUGCCUUUUUUCACACAGUACUUGGUUCAUGACUUAUUGUGAUCAUGAUCAUGAUCAUGCCUUUUUUCACACAGUAACGUAUGUUUCCCAAAUCAAUUCAAUUGUAUGUUGACCACAAUUUUAUUUUUGAAACUUAUUUGAAAAUUUAUUUUAAUUUGCACAAUUAAAUUAACUUGACCCGGUGCAACACACAUACAUUUUUGCUAUCUAGUAUUGUAAAAAUUGAUCGUAUUUCUAUUUGCCUUGCUAGAGUGAGCCGGUCAGAUCGUGGGCACUGUACGGGCCUUCCGUCUACCCAACCUACAUCCGUACUAUCAACAAGAGGAAACUCCUUUUGACAUCAUCCAAGGCUGCAUGUCAGCGACACAUGUGAAUGGUGCUUUGAUACCAAUCUGCCACUACUGUAUGCUUGCAGAGACACAAAUUCGGUAUGGUUUGCUCUCUUCAUCCCUGUUUGGUGCACCAGCUGCUUGAGGAAGCCCCAUCCAGGUGUGAACUCAUGUGAGUAUUGGCCGCUCUUUCCUCCGUAGUUGAUUGUAUGUGCUUAAGCAAAAGAUGGUACCUAAAAAACACAUUGGCAGGCUGGCUACAAUUACACUGGUAGUCUUAAAAGUAUUAUAAAUGACUGGUUUCAUGGUUUUCGCUUCCAGUAACUUC